rnacentral:rRNA from 1 species
GACGAACGCUGGCGGCGUGCCUAAUACAUGCAAGUAGAACGCACAGUUUAUACCGUAGCUUGCUACACCAUAAACUGUGAGUUGCGAACGGGCGAGUAACGCGUAGGUAACCUGCCUGGUAGCGGGGGAUAACUAUUGGAAACGAUAGCUAAUACCGCAUAAUAUUGAUUAUUGCAUGAUAAUUGAUUGAAAGAUGCUAUUGCAUCACUACCAGAUGGACCUGCGUUGUAUUAGCUAGUAGGUGAGGUAACGGCUCACCUAGGCGACGAUACAUAGCCGACCUGAGAGGGUGAUCGGCCACACUGGGACUGAGACACGGCCCAGACUCCUACGGGAGGCAGCAGUAGGGAAUCUUCGGCAAUGGACGAAAGUCUGACCGAGCAACGCCGCGUGAGUGAAGAAGGUUUUCGGAUCGUAAAGCUCUGUUGUAAGAGAAGAACGGGUGUGAGAGUGGAAAGUUCACACUGUGACGGUAUCUUACCAGAAAGGGACGGCUAACUACGUG